UACCAGCACCCCGAGUGGUCGGGACGAUUAUUGGGCCUAAAGCAUCCGUAGCCGGUUCUGCAAGUCUUCCGUUAAAUCCACCUGCUUAACAGAUGGGCUGCGGAGGAUACUAUAGAGCUAGGAGGCGGGAGAGGCAAGCGGUACUUAGUGGGUAGGGGUAAAAUCCGUUGAUCCAUUGAAGACCACCAGUGGCGAAGGCGGCUUGCCAGAACGCACUCGACGGUGAGGGAUGAAAGCUGGGGGAGCAAACCGG
rnacentral:rRNA from 1 species